rnacentral:rRNA from 1 species
CUCCACCAACGGGAGGCAGCAGUGGGGAAUAUUGCGCAAUGGGCGAAAGCCUGACGCAGCGACGCCGCGUGAGGGAUGAAGGUCUUCGGAUCGUAAACCUCUGUCAGCAGGGAAGAACGGUCACUGUGCUAAUCAGCAGUGAAUUGACGGUACCUGCAAAGGAAGCACCGGCUAACUCCGUACCAGCAGCCGCGGUAAUACGGAGGGUGCGAGCGUUAAUCGGAAUUACUGGGCGUAAAGCGCUCGUAGGCGGUAUGUCAAGUCAAGGGUGAAAUCCAC